CUGAGUGGCCUUGCUGUGCUCCUCCGUCAGCUCAUUGAGGGCAUCCUGUAGCUGCUGCAGAUGACUGGCAAACUCCCGCAGCUGAGACGGGCAACAAGCUGCUUCUUCAGCCGUCUCAUCUGGAACUGUGGGGUCUGCAGGAUAUCACCCAUGGGAGAAGCUGGAGAACCUGAGAGAAAGCUGAGGAGGGAGAAGGCCCAUAUGCAUUGGUCUCAUGAGGAACCUGAAUACAAGGAACAUC
rnacentral:lncRNA from 10 species